rfam:Triticum aestivum genome assembly, contig: Triticum_aestivum_CS42_TGACv1_scaffold_622576_7DS
AAAGUACUCCCUCCGUCCCAAAAUUCUUGUCUUAGAUUUGUCUAGAUACGGAUGUAUCAAGUCACAUUUGAGUAUUAGAUACAUCCGUAUCUAGACAAAUCUAAGACAAGAAAUUUGGGACAGAGGGAGUAGUUG